rnacentral:lncRNA from 1 species
GUUUAGAUCCCACUUACAAGGAUCGAAAUAUUUGAACAUGUGUAAUCAAUGUUUAGAUCCCACUCAUAAGAGAGAACAUGAGAUUGGAGACUGAAAAGAAGAGAAGUUAAGGAACUUGUCUAAGAUUAUCAAGCAAAAAUUUAAAGCUGAAGUUUCAAUAUUUUCUCAGAAAACAAGAAAAGUUAGUGAUCUCAUUAUAGAAGGACUAAAAGCCUGCAAAGUAUAUUUUUGUUAACUCCAAAGGACAGACUUUCAGGGCAGUUUACCAGGAGACAGCUUUUACAAUGAGUGCACUGGCAAGAGGAAGGAAAAAGCCAUUUUUGCUGCUUCAUGUGUUGCCUACACAGAGACUGUUACAGUGGCUUCAGCAGAGUCAGUGGUUGUGUCAACAGCAUCUGGAGCAGAGAGGGCAAGCUUAGUUCAUAUGAAGCAGCAAUAGCAACAGAAGAAAAGGCAGUGACAUCACCCUCAGCUUGUUGGAGGAGCCUAUGGGCCAGCUAAUGAAAAAUACAGGAGUCUGAAUAGCAGGGGAAAGCUCUGGGUGUCAGCAAUAUAUUCAAGUAGAGAUAAACAGAAGAAGAUGUGAAGAAGUCAAUGAUAGGGUAGUAGUUCUGAACUUACCUGGUGACUAUGCCAAAUGGACAAUCAUUCAGAAAUCAGGCUCUGGGAGGUUUUUCUAUCUUCAGUAAUGCCUUCUAAGGUUUUUUGGGAAUCAUCUCCAUUCCAGCUAAUGAGAAAAGGAAGAGAGUAUUUUGGGUGUCUGGGAUUUCCUCUCUGGCACUCAUUCUCCUGUCACCCUGUGAAGAGGUGCCUUCUGCCAUGAUUAGAAGUUUCCUGAGAACUCCCCAGCCAUGCU